UGGGGAAUAUUGGGCAAUGGGCGCAAGCCUGACCCAGCAAUACCGCGUGAAGGAUGAAGUAUUUCGGUAUGUAAACUUCGAAAGAAUAGGAAGAAUAAAUAACGGUACUAUUUAUAAGGUCCGGCUAACUACGUGCCAGCAGCCGCGGUAAUACGUAGGGACCAAGCGUUGUUCGGAUUUACUGGGCGUAAAGGGCGCGUAGGCGGCUUGACAAGUCACUUGUGAAAUCUCUGGGCUUAACCCAGAACGGCCAAGUGAAACUGUCAUGCUAGAGUGCAGAAGGGGCAAUCGGAAUUCUUGGUGUAGCGGUGAAAUGCGUAGAUAUCAAGAGGAACACCUGAGGUGAAGACGGGUUGCUGGGCUGACACUGACGCUGAGGCGCGAAAGCCAGGGGAGCAAACGGGAUUAGAUACCCAAGUAGUCCCUGAGCGGGCUGGCAAGGCGCAU
rnacentral:rRNA from 1 species